rnacentral:rRNA from 1 species
AGAAUAAGAAAGUUAAGUAGCUGUACCUUUUGUAUCAGGGGCGCUUAAAUAGUCUAUAUAGUUAUUUCUCGAUUAUAUCGGGUCCUUGACAUAUUUACAUUAGUAUAAUUUUUAGUUAAAAUAUGGUAAGAGGUUAAAAGUGAUCGACGUUAAUGGUAUCUAGUUCCCAAAUAUGUGUAUAAGGAUAAGCUUUUUCUUUUCUAUUUUAAAAGUUUUAUUAAAGAAGCUAGGCUUUAGAUCAGUCAUGUAAUUAUAUCGUUUUAGAUAACUUUAUGGUUUAGCUUAAGUGGAUAGAUUAGGGGCACUCAGUAUAAUUAUGUUUUGUUAAGAUAAUAAGUGCAUUUAAUAUAUUUAGAAGCGUUUAAAUAACUCGUGUUAAAUAAGAAGGUUUAGCAAAAACAUUUUCAUAUGGCUUGUAUGGUAUGGCCUGCCCAGUGAUAUUUUAACGGCUGCGGUAUUUUGACUGUGCUAAGGUAGCAUAAUCAUUUGUUUUUUAAUUGAGAGCUGGAAUGAAUGGUUGAACUUAUUUUAUUUGUUUGUUAUGCUAAAAAAUAAAUUAAAGUCAAAGUAAGAAUUCUUUGAUAAGCUAGGGGACGAUAAGACCCUAGAAGCUUUAUUUAAAGUAAUUUUAUUAGUGAGUAAGUGUAGUUUAGUUUUACUGGGGCGGUCAAUUUAUUAAUGACUAAGUUAUAAAUAAAAGAUCCUUUAUAUUAAGAUAACAUGAAUUAGUUACUCUAGGGAUAACAGUGCAAUAUUUUUUAAGAGACCUUAUCGAUAGAAAUGAUUGCUACCUCGAUGUUGAAUUAAGAUGUCUUUGUGGAGCAACAGAAACAUAAGAAGGUUUGUUCAACCUUUAAAA